UACAGGGGGGGCAAGCGUUGUUCGGAAUUACUGGGCGUAAAGGGCUUGUAGGUGGCCACGCCAAGUCGGAUGUGAAAUCUCCCGGCUCAACUGGGAGGGGUCAUUCGAUACUGGCGGGCUCGAGGCCGGUAGGGGGAAGUGGAAUUCCCGGUGUAGUGGUGGAAUGCGUAGAUAUCGGGAGGAACACCAGUGGCGAAGGCGGCUUCCUGGACCGGUUCUGACACUGAGGAGCGAAAGCGUGGGGAGCGAUCCGG
rnacentral:rRNA from 1 species